UGUUGUGUAUGCACUGAAUUAAUGUGUCUAAGUAUAUACAAAUGCUUCAUUCCUCCACACCACCCUCUAUCCCCUCCAUGAAUGAAGCUGGGGAGAAAGAUCAGGGCGGCUGUGGGUGAGUGAGCUGUGACUGGACACCCAGUGAGCGAGCUGGGCCACAGGGCACGGGCACUGACACCUUUGUGGGGCGUGUUUUGUUUUAAAAGGAAUGAAAAGCUCAGAAUUGCACAACCCCUGGGGUGGUGGGGGUAGGGCACACACGGAGGGGCACGGGAAAGAGGGCCUUCUCCACAGGAGCUUGUCUGCUCCAUCUGGGGUCAGAAAGGCAGCUAACUCUGAAUGCAUCGCUUCGCAAGAAAUGAGUGUCUUCCCCAACAUGCUGACACUUCUCUUCUUCUGAAGGUACUUCAUAAGGCAGAAGUAUUGUUGUUUUAUGUUGUGGCUCUUUCAGAAUGCUGAGGAUUGACAGAAACCCAGGCCACCCCAUCUGUGCUGCUGGUUCUGUGAUCAGGAGUCACCGGGAGCUCGGUGCUAUCCCAGUGUCACCUGCCAGGUGGGGGUCUGUGAUUCCAAGGGGACAGUAAUGUCAUACCCCAGGCCUGAAUCUGAGCCUCAUCUGAAAAGUCAGUGGUUCAAGACCACCAGGUCAGGAAAUACAAUUUGGCUAUCUCUGUUCUUAGAAAGAGACUUCUUUUUCCCCUCAGUUUCCCUUCCCUAUACAAGGACUGACACCUAUUUAGCAAUUCCAGCUUACAGUACUGGGGAAGCAGCAAAAACUGGGCAAAAGAAGGGAUUAAAAACCAUUGUGAGUAAUGUAUAGAAUGGGUACCAAUUUCCAUCUUUAAAACGCUAUAAAAAAUUACCAGUUUUCUCAUCCACCUGCAUUUUCCUCUUGCAUUACCCCACCAUAAGUACCCCCACAAGCAGCCAGUGCCUAGCUCCCAUCCCAUGUCCAGGGGAACAGUGAUUUCAUGCAUUCAAAGUUAGCUACCCCCUACACAGCUGCUCAGUUAAUAAUCGACCCAUUUAACAGCAGGACCAGUUUAUGCUACAUAUGUCAGAGUACCUUACCUCGAAAGAACGGCAUACAUAUCUACACUUAGAAAAUACCACUCACAGUUCCCUACUGUGGUUAUCCCAAAAGGGUUUAGUCUUCAGAGUACUACGGACAAUACAGUGUUUCCCCCCAAGGAGAGCUCAAGGGUGGGGCUGGGUGGGCCAAGCUGCUGGCAAACGGCGCUGGGUGGCAGCCCGUGGCUCCGUGUACCUGUGGCCCUGGUCACACCUGAGCCAGCAGCCUGGGGGUGCUGGGCAGGGUUCACCUUCACCCCAGAGGGUUCAUCCACAACAGCACUGGAGCGUGAUUUCAUGGCUUUUUUUAUUGGUGAGGGGAGAGGAACCGGGAUAUAACUACUCACACUGCCUAACGCCUUACGAAACUCCCCUUAAAACCUCUCUCUGCCAAGGUCCACAAAGCUCACUUCUAAAAUUAAAUAAUAGAGAAGGAAAAAAGAAAGCCAGCUUUGACACCUCUUCUUUUCUAUUGGGAUGUCCUUGGGCUUCCCCUCUCACACCUUUUCCUGUAUUGCUGCCACAGACCCCAGCUGCAGGAUGCCCUGGGCAUCAGGUGUCCCUCUGGCUCUGGUUAGGAGAUGAGACUGGCUGCAGCUCAAGCCCCACUGAGUCCCACCACCAUCAGUCAGACCUGAACCCCCACAAAGUUCCCUAAAAAGUGCUCUGGACAAUCAGACUUACAGGGAGAUCCCUGCGGCAGCAGCGCCGACAGCCUCACCUGCCGGUGAUUUCCUCAGGAGCAAGGAGCCUACCAUCGAAACAAACCACUGUUCCACACAGUGGUAAAAUAAAAUUGUGCUAAAAUCA